rnacentral:antisense_RNA from 1 species
CAGUAAUGACCAGACACAUCACACCCGCCUUCUAGAAGCCCUCCCUCACAAACCGGAUCAACUGCUAUGAUAAAGGCUCUGUGAUGCAAGCAGAGGAGAUGGUCAGCAGGCAGUCGGGCAGGGAGAGACCCAUGCUGGAGAGGGAUCUGGAAUUUCCAGUGUGUAGGUGAAGAACCCACCCAGGUAAUCACUGCUUGCUCAGAUCCCAGCAAAUUCUAGAUCCCAGAACUAGUGCUCUUAGAGCCAAGGCCAGCCGAUCCAAGUCUGGACCACUGCUCAGAUGAGCCAAGCCUGAAUUUGGGAGUGGUCGCGUUACAGAGCAUUACCCUGGCAAUAACUGACUGAUGCAGAGAUGUAAAUAGACAUCACUGGUGGAGCCCCCAGGAAAGCUCUUUAACAGAAGACAGACUCAGCUGGCAGGUUUUUUGCCCCUUUCCCUUCUCUUCCCUUGAAUGAAGACAGGCUCAAUGCUUGGAGGGGUGAGAGGAGGCAGCCGUCUUACAACCACAGGUCACAGGAAGACACUAAACAAGGCCGUGUGGAAAGACAGAAGGAGCCUCCAUCCCUCAGCACCACAGAGACAUUGUAUCAGCCUGGAAAUGCCUAAAUCUGAACUUCCUCUUACCUAAGAAAAAUAAAACCUCAAUUUGAUU